rnacentral:lncRNA from 1 species
AAGCUUCUCAAGCGUCUGGCGCUUGGGGUCACUGCCCUCAAGGAGGCACCUGGAGGGGGGGAUGGCGUCCACUCCGAUGGGGAAUGAGGGGGAGAAGAAGAGCAGCUGGCCAUCUCAAGCUGCACCCUCCUUGAGAGGAGGUCCGCAUUCUUCACCAAGACCUGAGGCACAGACACCUGGUGAGUGAGGCUUCAAGGGAGAUGCUCUUUGUCCUGGGAGAGAGCCCUCUCCCCUCUCUUCCACCAUCUCCUGCUCGGACAGAAACCGUACCUGCAGCAAGGCAUACCUCCUGCCAACUCCUGGUGAAAAGAACAUGCCUCAAAACUACUCUUUUGCCACUCGUUAACCACUUCCGUUUGUGGGGACCUCCUGGUCAUGAGCAGCAUCAUCCCGAAGCCUUCAAAGUGUUCUGGAUUCAUCACAGGACCCUCCAGCCUCAGCCAGCAAGGAUACCACCAGGAAUGAAAGUGCUUUAAUAAAGAGACAGGGUGUGCA